GACGAACGCUGGCGGCGUGCUUAACACAUGCAAGUCGAACGGAAAGGCCCUGCUUUUGUGGGGUGCUCGAGUGGCGAACGGGUGAGUAACACGUGAGUAACCUGCCCUUGACUUUGGGAUAACUUCAGGAAACUGGGGCUAAUACCGGAUAGGAGCUCCUGCUGCAUGGUGGGGGUUGGAAAGUUUCGGCGGUUGGGGAUGGACUCGCGGCUUAUCAGCUUGUUGGUGGGGUAGGGGCUUACCAAGGCUUUGACGGGUAGCCGGCCUGAGAGGGUGACCGGCCACAUUGGGACUGAGAUACGGCCCAGACUCCUACCGGAGGCAGCAGUGGGGAAUAUUGCACAAUGGGCGGAAGCCUGAUGCAGCGACGCCGCGUGCGGGAUGACGGCCUUCGGGUUGUAAACCGCUUUCGCCUGUGACGAAGCGUGAGUGACGGUAAUGGGUAAAGAAGCACCGGCUAACUACGUG
rnacentral:rRNA from 1 species